UGUGGCAGUCCUCAUGGAAGACUCUUGAACAAGUGUCGCAACAGAACAGCUCCCCUCCAUCCCGGCACACCUCACACUCAUCCAGGUUUCUCAUCUAGAAGACAUCUGGCUGUGGGCUGUGAGACAUAAACCUCCAUGUCAAGCUCAUACAAAAUCAGCCACGCAAACACUGACCUCCAGGGCUGUUUUAACCAUUCAUGAGUCCCUGAGUUGGCCGGGCAUCAAAAUCAGUGUGGAUAAGAACUAAAUCUUGUUGGAGGAUUGCUUUGGAGGUCACUGGAAGUAAAGGAGCCUGAAAAUCCACAGUUUCAUCUUUGUGCUUUCUUGAAGCUGAAAGAGAGGAUUUCUUCAUUCUGUCUCACUUUGCAAAGGCACAUCCCCCCUCCCCAC